rnacentral:rRNA from 1 species
GUGACCUCAAAUCAGGUAGGACUACCCGCUGAACUUAAGCAUAUCAAUAAGCGGAGGAAAAGAAACUAACAAGGAUUCCCCUAGUAACUGCGAGUGAAGCGGGAAAAGCUCAAAUUUAAAAUCUGUCAGUCUAUGGCUGUCCGAGUUGUAAUCUAGAGAAGUGUUAUCCGCGCUGGACCGUGUACAAGUCUCCUGGAAUGGAGCGUCAUAGAGGGUGAGAAUCCCGUCUUUGACACGGACUACCAGGGCUUUGUGAUGCGCUCUCAAAGAGUCGAGUUGUUUGGGAAUGCAGCUCAAAAUGGGUGGUAAAUUCCAUCUAAAGCUAAAUAUUGGCGAGAGACCGAUAGCGAACAAGUACCGUGAGGGAAAGAUGAAAAGAACUUUGGAAAGAGAGUUAAACAGUACGUGAAAUUGCUGAAAGGGAAACGCUUGAAGUCAGUCGCGUUGUCCAGGGAUCAACCUAGCUUCUGCUUGGUGUACUUUCU